UACGUAGGUGGCAAGCGUUGUCCGGAUUUACUGGGCGUAAAGAGCGCGCAGGCGGUCGUUCAAGUCGCGUGUGAAAGCCCCCGGCUCAACUGGGGAGGGUCACGCGAUACUGAUCGACUCGAAGGCAGGAGAGGGUAGUGGAAUUCCCGGUGUAGUGGUGAAAUGCGUAGAUAUCGGGAGGAACACCAGUGGCGAAGGCGGCUUCCUGGCCUGUUCUUGACGCUGAGGCGGCGAAAAGCUAGGGGAGCAAACGGGG
rnacentral:rRNA from 1 species